GAAAAGGGAAAAGUGAUUAGUGAACAUUACAAGCUCCUUCCAGUUGACUUGCGUGACAUACCAAAGUUGGACGACAAUAUAUCAUUGGCUAAUUUAAUUAUGGAGAACAGGGACAUUUGAUGGAGCAGCAUUGAAGAUAGAAAUGUCAGUUUUCAGAGCGAAAAGAGUUAUGUUUAUGUUCUAAUGGUGUUUUUCUUGAAGACGGGAGUGGUGGAUGAUGAUUAUUGAGAGGCAAAACGCUUCCUUGAGCUGGAUAUUUCACAUGAGCUUCUGUCUUUUGAUAACAUCAAAGAACAACUUGCAUUAUUCAAUCGGGAGCUAGAAGUGUAUCAAUUGUUUAGCAUGUGUACUGAUAUUAAGAUAGACUUGUAAUAAUACGACCCAAGCAUCGUGAACCAUGUC